rnacentral:rRNA from 1 species
AGUGAACGCUGGCGGUAGGCCUAACACAUGCCAGUCGAACGGCAGCACAGGAGAGCUUGCUCUCUGGGUGGCGAGUGGCGGACGGGUGAGGAAUACAUCGGAAUCUGCCCAGUCGUGGGGGAUAACGUAGGGAAACUUACGCUAAUACCGCAUACGACCUUCGGGUGAAAGAGGGGGAUCGCAAGACCUCUCGCGAUUGGAUGAGCCGAUGUCGGAUUAGCUAGUUGGCGGGGUAAUGGCCCACCAAGGCGACGAUCCGUAGCUGGUCUGAGAGGAUGAUCAGCCACACUGGAACUGAGACACGGUCCAGACUCCUACGGGAGGCAGCAGUGGGGAAUAUUGGACAAUGGGCGCAAGCCUGAUCCAGCCAUACCGCGUGGGUGAAGAAGGCCUUCGGGUUGUAAAGCCCUUUUGUUGGGAAAGAAAUCUUUCAGGCUAAUACCCUGGGAGGAUGACGGUACCCAAAGAAUAAGCACCGGCUAACUUCG